rnacentral:rRNA from 1 species
ACCGCCAGCUAAGGUCCCAAAGUCAUGGUUAAGUGGGAAACGAUGUGGGAAGGCCCAGACAGCCAGGAUGUUGGCUUAGAAGCAGCCAUCAUUUAAAGAAAGCGUAAUAGCUCACUGGUCGAGUCGGCCUGCGCGGAAGAUGUAACGGGGCUAAACCAUGCACCGAAGCUGCGGCAGCGACACUAUGUGUUGUUGGGUAGGGGAGCGUUCUGUAAGCCUGUGAAGGUGGCCUGUGAGGGUUGCUGGAGGUAUCAGAAGUGCGAAUGCUGACAUAAGUAACGAUAAAGCGGGUGAAAAGCCCGCUCGCCGGAAGACCAAGGGUUCCUGUCCAACGUUAAUCGGGGCAGGGUGAGUCGACCCCUAAGGCGAGGCCGAAAGGCGUAGUCGAUGGGAAACAGGUUAAUAUUCCUGUACUUGGUGUUACUGCGAAGGGGGGACGGAGAAGGCUAUGUUGGCCGGGCGACGGUUGUCCCGGUUUAAGCGUGUAGGCUGGUUUUCCAGGCAAAUCCGGAAAACCAAGGCUGAGGCGUGAUGACGAAGCACUACGGUGCUGAAGCGACAAAUGCCCUGCUUCCAGGAAAAGCCUCUAAGCAUCAGGUAACAUCAAAUCGUACCCCAAACCGACACAGGUGGUCAGGUAGAGAAUACCAAGGCGCUUGAGAGAACUCGGGUGAAGGAACUAGGCAAAAUGGUGCCGUAACUUCGGGAGAAGGCACGCUGAUAUGUAGGUGAAGCGACUUGCUCGUGGAGCUGAAAUCAGUCGAAGAUACCAGCUGGCUGCAACUGUUUAUUAAAAACACAGCACUGUGCAAACACGAAAGUGGACGUAUACGGUGUGACGCCUGCCCGGUGCCGGAAGGUUAAUUGAUGGGGUUAGCGGUAACGCGAAGCUCUUGAUCGAAGCCCCGGUAAACGGCGGCCGUAACUAUAACGGUCCUAAGGUAGCGAAAUUCCUUGUCGGGUAAGUUCCGACCUGCACGAAUGGCGUAAUGAUGGCCAGGCUGUCUCCACCCGAGACUCAGUGAAAUUGAACUCGCUGUGAAGAUGCAGUGUACCCGCGGCAAGACGGAAAGACCCCGUGAACCUUUACUAUAGCUUGACACUGAACAUUGAGCCUUGAUGUGUAGGAUAGGUGGGAGGCUUUGAAGUGUGGACGCCAGUCUGCAUGGAGCCGACCUUGAAAUACCACCCUUUAAUGUUUGAUGUUCUAACGUUAGCCCGUAAUCCGGGUUGCGGACAGUGUCUGGUGGGUAGUUUGACUGGGGCGGUCUCCUCCUAAAGAGUAACGGAGGAGCACGAAGGUUGGCUAAUCCUGGUCGGACAUCAGGAGGUUAGUGCAAUGGCAUAAGCCAGCUUGACUGCGAGCGUGACGGCGCGAGCAGGUGCGAAAGCAGGUCAUAGUGAUCCGGUGGUUCUGAAUGGAAGGGCCAUCGCUCAACGGAUAAAAGGUACUCCGGGGAUAACAGGCUGA